CCUACGGGUGGCAGCAGUAGGGAAUUUUCGUCAAUGGGCGCAAGCCUGAACGAGCGAUGCCGCGUGAGUGAAGAAGGCCUUCGGGUCGUAAAGCUCUGUUGCGGGGGAAAAAAGGCAGCAUCAGGAAAUGGGUGCUGACUGAUGGUGCCCCGCCAGAAAGUCACGGCUAACUACGUCCCAGCAGCCGCGGUAAUACGUAGGUGGCGAGCGUUAUCCGGAAUGGUUGGGCGUAAAGGGUGCGCAGGCGGUCCUGCAAGUCUGGAGUGAAACGUAUGAGCUCAACUCAUGCAUGGCUUUGGAAACUGGAUGACUGGAGAGCAGGAGAGGGCGGUGGAACGCGAUGUGUAGCGGUAAAAUGCGUAGAUAUAUGGAAGAACACCAGUGGCGAAGGCGGCCGCCCGGCCUGUUGCUGACGCUGAGGCACGAAAGCGUGGGGAGCAAAUAGGAUUAGAUACCCGUGUAGUC
rnacentral:rRNA from 1 species